rnacentral:rRNA from 1 species
GACGAACGCUGGCGGCGUGCCUAAUACAUGCAAGUCGAGCGGACGAAGCGAAAACUGUCUUGUGGUUCGGUAGCGGCGGACGGGUGAGUAACACGUGGGCAACCUCGUCUGUAGACGGGGAUAACACGGAGAAAUAGUUGCGAAUACCGGAUAACACGAAAUGUGGCAUGACGUUUGGUUGAAAGACGGCGGAAGCUGUGGCUACAGGAUGGGCCCGUGGCGCAUUGGCUAGUUGGUGAGGUAACGGCUCACCAAGGCGACGAUGCGUAGCCGACCUGAGAGGGUGAUCGGCCACACUGGGACUGAGACACGGCCCAGACUCCUACGGGAGGCAGCAGUAGGGAAUCUUCCGCAAUGGACGCAAGUCUGACGGAGCAACGCCGCGUGCGGGAAGAAGGCCUUCGGGUCGUAAAGCUCUGUUGUUCGGGAAGAAAAAGUACCGCAGUAACUGGCGUUACCGUGACGGUACCUAACGAGAAAGCCACGGCUAACUACGUG